CGGGCAGGUAGCGCAGGAACGGGAUGCCGGCGCCGUCGUCGCCGAGCGACGCGGCCCACGAGGCGAACUCCGGUUGCCCGGCCGGAGCGCCCAUC
rnacentral:tRNA from 1 species